rfam:Canis lupus familiaris chromosome 1, whole genome shotgun sequence.
AGGAGGAACAGCCCCAGUGGCGGGGCCAGCUCUGGAAACCUGGAUUCAGCCCCCGCAGGAACUCCGGAGCUCUCCGUCUGCAGGGCCUGGAGGCUCCGGGGCGGG